GUCAGGUGAGAAGUAGAGCUCUCGUUUGCUUUUACACCUAGCAAGAGACCAAGAGUAAAAGCCAAUAAAAUUCAUAUCUUCACAAAGAUAUAGCAGGAAAGUAUUAAACUUACGAAAAGCUAAAAACAAAAAUCAUAAGCAAAGAGAACUGAUGUGAGAAAUAGCCAACUUUUUCUGACUUUUGGAAGUAGCAAACAAGGAGCAUGCAAUAGUCAGUGAUUUCUAAAAGAAGAGUAGAAGAGGAAAAAAUGUGAGUUCCCUGCUUUUCUUUGAUAUACACUAGCCCCGUUGAUAUACAUAACCUUGAAUCCACUUUGUCACCUCAUUGCUUAAUAAAAAAAUCCUAAGAUCUCCUAUUCUAAAUUGGGUAAGAACCAAAAUUUCUAGUUGCUGCACACUCAAGACUUUGAAUCGGUUGCUGAUUGCCGAUUUGAAUCUAACACUCAUUCACCCUAACCAAGUCAAAAGGAAGCAUACCAAUCAUCCAUAAGUAAUUAAACACAUCUUACUUACAUCCUAAAUAAGCUCAGACAGGAAUUCUCACCAAGUUAAAUGACCUAUUCAACACAACCAAUUGAGGAUGGGAGGAAGUUCUCUUUGAUGCCUCAUCUGUACUCAUCGUGUUCUCAAACCACCUACAUAAAAGCAACCAAGACUGCGCCAAUCCCGAAGUAUAACUGCCUAACCAGGAAAACAGAAAGGAAACCUUAUGAGGUAAGCUAUGAAACUGACUGCCCAAAAAUCAAAUUCACAAUGGUUUCCUGACUUCAGUCACCCAAGGAAUCAAGGAUUACUUCACCUUUAAAGCAUGAUAUAAAAAGAAAGAAAGCAUUGUUUUCCUUUCCCCCACUCCUCAUGUUCUCAAACAUUUUCGUGCAAAAAGAAAGACAAAAGGAAGAAACCCCCUAAAACAAAAGGACAUUUUCCAUCAGCACACAACCACAACCUACUCUAGUCGUCAUAACCAACCUGGUGUACAUUUUGGUUAUAGCCAUAAAACUGCACAUUCAAUAGAACACUCGUUUUCAUAAUUCUACAAGCUAUUGAAACAGCUUAUCACAUCACGCAAACCUGUCAUGCAUAAGUUGAUACAUUUGGCUAUAUUAGUCAGUGUUUUUGAAAGCGCAAAAAAGCGACAAGGUUUUUAGGGCUUGAAACAAAAAGCGAGAAGUGAAGCACAUGCUUCUGUAACAUGAAGGGAACAAUUUAAUUAAAAAACAAAAAGUACCAUACAUAUAUGAAUUUAGUACUAUAAUAAUCAAAUUUUAAUCAAACUAACUAAUUUCAACAUUAAAAUAUAAAAUAGUGCCAAUAUUAACCCAACUUUCAAAGUUGAGAUCCAAACUAUCGAUCUAUUUGCGUUGGGAUCACUUUGCACAUUAUUGUUUGAAGCACGCAAUAUUCAAAGCACAUUGCCUAGCCCAUGAACUGGUGACCCCUCGCUCCACUCGGCUUCAUCGCUUUAAGAGACGAAGCAAUGACUUAUAACUCUGCUAUUAAUAUCUCUCCAAAUAUGGAGCAUUGCUUCUUCAUCUCUUUUAAGGAAUAACAGUUAGGUUAAACCCCAGCUAAGUAAGGUUCUUUUAAUUAAUCAUUUUCAAAUUUUUAAAAAAUUGAUUCUUAGUACGUAAAGUCAAAUUAGUACCACCGCAAUUUCAAGCCAUUAUAACAAGGGAAGUAAACUAACAGGAAAUAAAAACAAGAUUAUGGUCCGAUUCACUAAAAUUUGUGCUUUACCAUUAAAAUUAAAUGCAAAAAGGGGAUAAGGGUUUUUGCUAACUAGACACAUAAAAAUGGAUUAUAGAGACAAAGCUCGAUAGAGAAAAAACAUACCUAAUUCUGCUUGAGAGGUGAAUAUGAGCAGCUAAUUAGCGGCAGGGCUGAGGAGUUUUAGCGACCUGGUAGAGAAAAUCUCGCAGAAAUUGAAGCUAAAUGCAAUGGGAAUUUUGGGUCGAGCUUGCGUUCAUUUGUUUUGGUGAAAAUAGUUCGGAAGGACGAUUUUCUUGUGUUUGUAAAUUCAAUCAAAAAUAGUGACUAUUUUACACUAAUAUAAGUUUCAGUGUAAUAUACUAGAUAUUUGAGUACCUGUGUAUGAACUUCCAGCAUAAUUGGACCACUAUAUUAUGC
rnacentral:lncRNA from 1 species